rnacentral:tRNA from 1 species
GUCCAGGGAUGGGAAUCGAACCCGCAAUGUUCCGCUUACCGGGCAGAUGCCAUGUCCACUAGGCUACCCUGGA